AUAAAAAAAUGGGAAUCGAACCCACGACCUUCCGCUUACCGGGCAGAUGCCAUGACCACUAGGCUAUAGACUCA